ensembl:lncRNA
AUGUUCCCUGUUUCUGUGGUUGAAGCUUUGAUGAGAAACAAGCCCCGCCUUACCUUGUUAAAACUUGGAAGCUACCACAUAGCAGCUUUCACAAAGGUGAAGGAAGUGAGGAGUUUGGAUUUCAGUGAGGCAAAUACCACUCUUUGCUCUGAUGGCCUCUGUGUUGUUGCAGAACAAGGUUUUUCUGAAAAAGCUUCUGUAGUUCUUCAUGGAAACAUGCCUUGCUUUGUGAAUGACAAUUUCACAUCCUCUCUAGAAAAAUACUGUUUGGAAAAACAUCAGCAAAACAAACAAAUUCUACCAAAAAGUAAACGUAAAAAUAAAAGUCUGGAUAAAGGUGUUAAUGAUAUAAAGUAUCACAAAAAAAUCUUUAGAAGGAAAGUUAAAGGAGAAGAAAUACAGACUGAGAAAGCCCAAGCACAACAGGUUACCUGUGAUUUUGAGGAAAAUUCUGAAAUUUUAAAUAAAACAGAGUUGAUUAGGCUGGGGAAGCAAGGAAUGGACACCAAAGACAAACCAGGUAGCCCAGAAGUUUUUCACAAUAUAUCUGUUGAUUUUAAGGACUUACAGAAUCAUUUCAACAGUCUUGAAUUAAAGAAGAAAGAAGAAACCCUCUCAGAAACGUGCAUCUCUGAUGUGACCAGGGCAUGCACUGGAGUAGAUAUAAUGAAAAUGGAAGAGAAAGGGGAGCAACCUCAGAAACCAACUCACCAAAUAAACUCUUCCGGGAAUAUUGGACUGAAAGAAAAUAAAGACCAGGCCUUGAAAUUACAUAAAUCAAAAGAGAAGAAUUUCUCGUGUCAAAAGGUGGCUGCUGAAAACACGCAAUAUGCAUAUCCUCAGAAAAGUUUUUGGUCAGAGGAAGAGAGUUAUCCACUAAAAAUACUGUCUCCUAUGCAAAAGAGGGCUGUGUGCUUAAGCAAACAACUCCUACCAAAAAGCAAUUUUUAUGCGUAUUUCUGUCAUCUGUCACCACUGGCAGCAGUUAAUGAGCAUAACGUGAAAAUUUAUACAUUGAAAAAAGCAGUGGCUAUGUGUUCUCAGAAGAUAUUUGUACUGAUGCAAGAGAAUGAAUAUUACUCAAAAAAGGUCUGUUUAUUACAAGAGGAGAAUGAGAGAUAUGUUCAGAAGGUUUGUGCACUGGAAGAGGAGAUGAAUGUAUAUUUUCAAUACGCUUUAGAAGAAGUUAGCAUUGCUUCUUUUCAAAAUUUACCUAAUGAGAAUGAAGUUGCUGGUGAAUGUUAUAUCAACAUAUCAGAAGAAAAUAGAAUGAGCCCAGGAGCAAUUUUUGCUGAAACCUUCUCUAAGAAUCUCUCAUAUGUUAAAGAUAAAAAUAGGAAUUCUGAAAAAGAUUCAUUGACAAUUGAAUCAAAUCAACUUCCCAAGAGUGUUUUAUCCCUUGAUGGAAGGAAAAUGAGGUAUUUACAGCUGCUUUCUAACCUGAAAGAAGAAAGAAGUAGAUGCUUCAGAGAAAUAGCUAAAUUAUUACAUGACAAGGAGAACUAUGUAGCAAAAUACAAUGAAUUAAUUAAAGAGAGAGAGAGAAACUUGCAAAGAACAUCUCUUUUAAAAGAUGAAAAAGAAAUUUUAUUGAGAAGUUUGGCAGAAGUAAAAUGUGAACAAGACAAGUACCAAGCCUUGGUUUCAGAACUUCAAGAGUGCAAAGCCAGUUGUUAUCAAACUAUUUCUGAUUUACGGGAGGAAAAAUGUGCACUAAAAAGAGCUAUAGACAGGAUCAAGGAAGAAACUGCGGAACAACUUCAUGAAUUUCAAACAGCAAAUGCAAACUUUAUUUUAGAAAACAACAAAUUAAAAGAAUUAAUAUCUUCUUUGGGUUUCACCUAUGAAGAUGUGAUAAAAGAAAAAUGCUUGGAAACAAAGGAAAAGGUAGUAAACCUAAAAGAAGAAAAUAGAAGUCAACAACGUGAUCUUAAUCCAAAGAAAGUUGAAACAUCAUGCAGUGUAACUCAGACUGAAGAAGAAGGAGUAGACCCCUCCAGCUAUUUCGCCAACAAAGAGGUAAGUAGUACCAAUAAGGAAUGUUAUCAAGCAGGACCUUCUUAA